rnacentral:sRNA from 1 species
CCGCGUCUUGGGCGAUGUCUCGCCAAGAUCCGUGUCAUGAACUUUGAUUCCCCUGGCGUUCAAUAAAAUCGAGGGUUAUUAUGCUUCUUUUCUCAUCUCUACCAUGGCAGAGAUUGAGAGAGUCAAUGAGAAUGAUGUGCCAGAUGCCCCAGGGUAAGAAUCUGCUCUCUCUCUCUUCUCAAGUUUAUAGCAAUUGAUUCUGGCCCUUUUGUAAUUGGAUCCAAAUCCUAGAGCUUUUCUCUGCCGAGUACCUUGAUUCUAGGUUUGGGUGGGAAAUGAUGGGAAAUUAAGGCUUGGGUAUGGAAUUUUUCAUCAUUUCUAACGAAAAAUUGUUCAUUGUUGUGUGCAUACGUUGUUAAACUUUCACUUUAAGCUUGUUUGGUCAUCUGGGUAGGUGUUUUGUAUGUCAUCUCAUAC